CUCACUUCUUUUUCUUUGUUCUUCUUUUAAUUUUUUUGUUUCUUCCUCUCUGCAUCGAUGUUUCUCUUUCUUCUUUUUUAUUUUUUUUGUUUCUUCCUCUGCAUCGAUGUCUUUCUUUCUUUCACAUUAGAUCAUAUUCAAUUCAAACAUCACUCACCACCGCCAGACUACUACUCACCGCAAUCACACCGCCUUUUACCACCACAAUCCACCAUACGAGCGCAGUUCCACACCACCACACAUGCUUUUCCCUCCCUCAUCGGUCCCCCCUAUGCGUAAAAACCAUCAAUAUUGAUGGAGAACUCACAAAGAAAUUGACCUACAUCCCUUGAUUUUGAAUCAGGUUCAAUAAAUCAUACAUAGAAAAACUCCCAAGGUAUUAUUCCAAUGCAUUAGAGCGAACAGUUUGGAGGAAAGGUUGUGAAGUCCUGCAUCUCAAAUCAUCUAACAAAUACCAGGGGCUUUGCAGAAUAUUGAAGUUUUGGAAGCAUAAUGCAACAAAAAGAAUCAUGCUCUUAUAGCUUAUCAAAGCAGGCUUCAUCCUGACACAAUGACACUCAAUACUACAUAGCAUUGGGCAUAAAUUUGUUUCAUAGCUAAGCUUCACAUAUUUUAAGAAAACAUUUUACAGUGAUUUUUUGAAUACUCUAAUGCGUUCUUCCUUUAACAUCAGUGGUGACAACUUCUGCUUACUACAUUACGAUAUUACUGCUUACUACAUUACGAUAUUACAAGAUACAAAGUUGAGAAGCUUAUUCUAAUAGUUAAAA